rnacentral:rRNA from 1 species
CUCGUAGGCGGUUCAGUAAGUCGGGUGUGAAAACUCUGGGCUCAACCCAGAGAGGCCACCCGAUACUGCUGUGACUUGAGUACGGUAGGGGAGCGGGGAAUUCCUGGUGUAGCGGUGAAAUGCGCAGAUAUCAGGAGGAACACCAGUGGCGAAGGCGCCGCUCUGGGCCGAAACUGACGCUGAGGAGCGAAAGCGUGGGUAGCAAACA